rnacentral:snoRNA from 14 species
CGUACCUCGUGACGCUCCGAUUGGUUGACUCUUCAUGAUGAAACAAUCACCAUCUUUCGGCUGAAUGUCUG